AGUGAACGCUGGCGGUAGGCCUAACACAUGCAAGUCGAACGGCAGCACAGUAAGAGCUUGCUCUUACGGGUGGCGAGUGGCGGACGGGUGAGGAAUACAUCCGAAUCUACUUUUUCGUGGGGGAUAACGUAGGGAAACUUACGCCAAUACCGCAUACGACCCACGGGUGAAAGCAGGGGAUCUUCGGACCUUGCGCGAUUGAAUGAGCCGAUGUCGGAUUAGCUAGUUGGCGGGGUAAAGGCCCACCAAGGCGACGAUCCGUAGCUGGUCUGAGAGGAUGAUAAGCCACACUGGAACUGAGACACGGUCCAGACUCCUACGGGAGGCAGCAGUGGGGAAUAUUGGACAAUGGGCGCAAGCCUGAUCCAGCCAUACCGCGUGGGUGAAGAAGGCCUUCGGGUUGUAAAGCCCUUUUGUUGGGAAAGAAAAGCAGCAGGUUAAUACCCCGCUGUUCUGACGGUACCCAAAGAAUAAGCACCGGCUAACUUCGUG
rnacentral:rRNA from 1 species